rnacentral:rRNA from 1 species
GCGUCUGAUUAGCUAGUUGGUAAGGUAACGGCUUACCAAGGCGACGAUCAGUAGCCGACCUGAGAGGGUGAUCGGCCACAUUGGAACUGAGACACGGUCCAAACUCCUACGGGAGGCAGCAGUGGGGCAUAUUGCACAAUGGGCGAAAGCCUGAUGCAGCAACGCCGCGGGAGUGAUGAAGGCCUUCGGGUCGUAAAACUCUGUCCUCAAGGAAGAUAAUGACGGUACUUGAGGAGGAAGCCCCGGCUAACUACGUGCCAGCAGCCGCGGUAAUACGUAGGGGGCUAGCGUUAUCCGGAUU